CGUGGCCCGUGAGGGAGCCGGGCAGCCGGUGCAGAGGGGCCGCCGGGGGAGUCUCUCUCUCUCCAUCUCGUCCUCUCGUAGUUUGCCCCUCUUUAACCUCCUCCUCCUCCCCCCACUUGACCGAGGAAGGGCAGUUCCCUUCGUUGUCCCUCUUCUUCUUCCCGCGCCUCGCCUCCUGGCCCGGGUUUCUUUUCUUUCUGGGCCUCCCUCCCUCCCCCUUUGGUUCAGAUGAACGCGAAGUUCAUUCGUUUCAUGGGAGAGAGUGAGUUCGCUCCCCUUCUUCUUUCUUUCCUCCCCGGGAUCGUCUCCUGUUCGGCCCAUUUCCUCACCCCGAAGCCCCUCGGACCUUUGCCUGUCUUUGGAAACUGUCUCUGUGACCUUUCGAGACCUUCUUCCAAUCCCGAGAGGACACUCGUUUCUUCUCCCCCGUCAAAAGGCUUCAGACUGGAACCAAGACCUCACUACACUCACAGCAUCAGAGCCACACAGAUGCUGCUUCUGACCUUCUUCUUCAGGCCACAACCCAAGGCCUGCAACCCCUCCUCACUCAGCCCUGGAUCUGCGACCCAGGAGUGGAGCGUGAGCAACAGACCUGGCACUUGGCAGCCAUUUCUGCACCCUUCAUAAGGAAGACUAAAAAAAUGAAAGAAAGUGAUACGGUAUCAGUUCUUUCUCUGGAGGAGGAGAUCGUGCUUCAUCAUGAGUCCUUUGGCAUUGUCUUGGAUCGUCGUAUGGCCGAGAGUAGGCUUCCUUCAAAUUGUGGUUGUGGACGUGCCAUUUCAUCCAUGAGAAACAGCAAAAAAACGCCACUUCAUUGACUUACAAGGAAACUUCCAAUCUUCUUUAAGGCCUCAGACUGGAACCAAGACCUCACUACACUCACAGCAUCAGAGCCACACAGAUGCUGCUGCUGCUGCUGCUUCUGAACUUCCUCUUCAGGCCACAACCCAAGGCCUGCAACCCCUCCUCACUCAGCCCUGGAUCUGCGACCCAGGAGUGGAGCGUGAGCAACAGACCUGGUAC